UACGUAGGGACCAAGCGUUGUCCGGAAUCAUUGGGCGUAAAGCGCGCGUAGGUGGCCAUUUAAGUCCGCUGUGAAAGUCAAAGGCUCAACCUUUGAAAGCCGGUGGAUACUGGAUGGCUAGAGUACGGAAGAGGCGAGUGGAAUUCCUGGUGUAGCGGUGGAAUGCGCAGAUAUCAGGAGGAACACCGGUGGCGAAGGCGGAUCUCUGGGCCAUUACUGACGCUGAGGAGCGAAAGCGUGGGGAGCGAACAGG
rnacentral:rRNA from 1 species